AACGCACAUUGCGCCCCUUGGUAUUCCGGGGGGCAUGCCUGUUCGAGCGUCAUUUCAACCCUCAAGCUUAGCUUGGUAUUGAGUCCAUGUCAGCAAUGGCAGGCUCUAAAAUCAGUGGCGGCGCCGCUGGGUCCUGAACGUAGUAAUAUCUCUCGUUACAGGUUCUCGGUGUGCUUCUGCCAAAACCCAAAUUUUUCUAUGGUUGACCUCGGAUCAGGUAGGGAUACCCGCUGAACUUAA
rnacentral:misc_RNA from 1 species